rnacentral:rRNA from 1 species
UGAUUCCUUUGGGGAGAAGAAAUAUGUGACUGAGUGGCGGACGGGUGAGUAACGCGUGGGUAACCUGCCUUAUACAGGGGGAUAACAGUUAGAAAUGACUGCUAAUACCGCAUAAGCGCACGGUCUCGCAUGAGAUAGUGUGAAAAACUCCGGUGGUAUAAGAUGGACCCGCGUUGGAUUAGCUAGUUGGUGAGGUAACGGCCCACCAAGGCGACGAUCCAUAGCCGACCUGAGAGGGUGACCGGCCACAUUGGGACUGAGAUACGGCCCAGACUCC